rnacentral:rRNA from 1 species
GAUGAACGCUAGCGGCAGGCUUAAUACAUGCAAGUCGAGGGGCAGCAGGGGUGUAGCAAUACACUCGCUGGCGACCGGCAAACGGGUGCGGAACACGUACGCAACUUACCCAAAACUGGGGAAUAGCCCGGGGAAACCCGGAUUAAUACCUCGUAACAUAAUGGAGUGGCAUCACUUUAUUAUUAUAGCUCCGGCGGUUUUGGAUGGCGUGCGCCUGAUUAGGUAGUUGGCGGGGUAACGGCCCACCAAGCCUACGAUCAGUAACUGGUGUGAGAGCACGACCAGUCACACGGGCACUGAGACACGGGCCC